rnacentral:rRNA from 1 species
AAUCAACGCUGGCGGCGUGCCUCAGACAUGCAAGUCGAACGCGAAAGUUUCCUUCGGGAAGCGAGUAGAGUGGCGUCCGGGUGAGUAACACGUAGGUAAUCUACCUUUGGGUGGGGAAUAACAACCGGAAACGGUUGCUAAUACCGCAUAAUGCAGCGGCACCACAUGGUGACAGUUGUUAAAGCGGGGGAUCGCAAGACCUCGCGCCUAAAGAGGAGCCUGCGGCGGAUUAGCAGUUGGUAAGGUAACGGCUUACCAAGGCAACGAUCCGUAGCCGGCCUGAGAGGGCGGUCGGCCACACUGACACUGAAAUACGGGUCAGACUCCUACGGGAGGCAGCAGUCGGGAAUUUUGGGCAAUGGGCGAAAGACCUGACCCAGCAACGCCGCGUGAAGGAUGAAAAUCCCUCGGGA